UUGCACUGUUCGUAACCUCUUAACAGUAUCUUUCUGAUAAUGGGUUCCAUUCCAGUGCUACAUGAUACCCCAAGAUAAUAAAAGGCUGGCUGUUUGUCUGCCUGCCCUCUUUACUUUGGGGGACAUAA
rnacentral:snoRNA from 2 species